rnacentral:rRNA from 1 species
GACGAACGCUGGCGGCGUGCUUAACACAUGCAAGUCGAACGAUGAAGCCUUCGGGUGGAUUAGUGGCGAAACGGGUGAGUAACACGUGGGUAAUCUGCCCCGCACUCUGGGAUAAGCCUUGGAAACGAGGUCUAAUACCGGAUAUCACAACUUUUCGCAUGGAGAGUUGUUGAAAGUUCCGGCGGUGCAGGAUGAACCCGCGGCCUAUCAGCUUGUUGGUGGGGUAAUGGCCUACCAAGGCGACGACGGGUAGCCGGCCUGAGAGGGUGACCGGCCACACUGGGACUGAGACACGGCCCAGACUCCUACGGGAGGCAGCAGUGGGGAAUAUUGCACAAUGGGCGAAAGCCUGAUGCAGCGACGCCGCGUGAGGGAUGACGGCCUCGG